UGCUGGUGUCCUUUGCUUCUCUGUUCUGUGGCAGCUGAGACAAAAACAACUGGCUGUUGUCAUCGCCAGACUGUUUGCUAAAGGAAGAGAAUAUCUGUGGAAAAUGGCGUCUCGGCAACAGACAAGCUUGCUUUUCCCACUCUCAUCAAGACAGGCGGCCAUCUUUCGAUGAACUCUUGACCUUGGCAAGGCUUGGAGCAGAGAAGCUACA